AUACGGAGGGUGCAAGCGUUGUUCGGAAUCACUGGGCGUAAAGGGCGCGCAGGCGGUCUGGUAAGUCAGAUGUGAAAGCCCAUGGCUCAACCAUGGAAGUGCAUUUGAAACUGUCAGACUUGAGUACUAGAGGGGAAAGUGGAAUUCCCGGUGUAGAGGUGAAAUUCGUAGAUAUCGGGAGGAAUACCGGUGGCGAAGGCGACUUUCUGGCUAGAUACUGACGCUGAGGCGCGAAAGCGUGGGGAGCAAACAGGAUUAGAAACCCCAGUAGUCC
rnacentral:rRNA from 1 species